CUGUUGUUUGCAUUCCUUCUGUAGGUGAAUGGCAUCGAUCUUCGAGGUGCUACCCACGAGCAGGCUGCAGCUGCACUCAAGGGAGCAGGGCAGACGGUAACAAUCAUAGCACAAUACCAGCCGGAGGAUUUUCACUCUCAGUUCAUGGUCUGUUGUGGCAAUGACAGCAGAAGAGGGCUUCUUGACCUCGAGGUUAAAGCAUAAGAUUGACAACCAGGCAUCGUGGGUUCUUCUUAACUCCACCAUUUACAUUUGCAUUGCUUAUCAAUUAUUAUUUUUUGUGUGUGUGUGUUUUUUUCUCUAGGUUCUACUGGUAUGGUAUUACAGAUUACUUUGGUCCUUUAUAUAGUGUUGUUUGUAAAAUGAGGUGUGAUGUAGCAAGGAGUAAUGGAGCAUGACAAUAAGAAUGUUGUGAAAUUCCAUGAGAGCUGUGUUCAGCACUUCCCAUUUACCAAAGCAUCCCUGCUGAGUUUGCUGGGUCUUGAAGCCAGGGAGAGUUUUAAUGAGUAAUGUGUGAAAACAGGCUCUUUGACUAUGGCUUAAUUUUGAGGUAUAUUUUGUGACUUCAGUGGAAGCUGUGCAUGUCCAACAAUUGCCAUGUCAGUCCAUUUUCAUUUGUAAAGCACUUUGAGAUUUGCUGGGGAACCAGACUAUUCUACAAGCUUUAGUAUGCACUGCUGUGAGUGAGCUGAUUCUGUGUAUGCAUAUAACUAAUGAUUGUGAGCACCAUGGUUAGCAAUGUAUUUUUGGAACAGAGAUCCUGCGCAAAGUGUAAUUUAGCAUUUUAAAAUUUUUAAUUAUUUUCAUGCAUUUAGUUAAUUAUGUGGAAUUUUCAAGAAGCUCUCUAUGACUUCAGGAAGGUACAGGAGCCUUAAGUCUUUUUACUUGAUUUGACUUGGGGUCCUGAGUCCUUUAAUUUACGCGAUAGUAUAGUCCAUGUGCUUUCCAGGUAAAAGUGAGUGAAGUUUGGAAGUAUAACUAACAGUUCUAUAGUGAGCUGAGUUUUAAUGCUAAAAACAGGGAUUUCACUUUGUAUAUCAAGACUGGAAUGUAUUAUUCAAAGUGACAUAACUUACUCUAUAAAUCUUCUUAAUAAUUUACAGGUAAACAAACUUAUACAACAACUUUAUUAACAGGCCUCUUAAAUUAUUCAAUACUUGAAGUCAGAUUUUUGGAGUGCCUUCUUUAAUAGAGGUUGCUAUUUAAUAUUUUUCUUCAAAGAGUUCCACAAAUAAUUUUCCUUUUUAGAAACUGGAUGCAAUGUUUUCAAUAUGCUGAAGGCAUGUUUUUUCCUUUUCCAGAGCAGCCAUCAACUCUCAUUGUUUUAAGGCAUUUGUUUUCACAUUUCCAACUCUUGAACAGCCUUGGUUUUCUUUUUGGUAUAACCAGAUCUAUAAACUUCUUAGGUUUGUAAAUCUUGCUUGAGGCUAAAUAUAAAUCCCUGUAAUGUGUUUUACCUUAAAUUAUUGAUAUGUAUGUUCAAUUGUAACUUUCUCAAUGAAGUUUUUGUCUGAGAAUUAUUGAAUGGUAUUCAAGAAAUGCUAAAAUGCCUUUUGUGUAAGAAAUUUAGAUAUUAAAUAGUGAGAUGAA